GACGAACGCUGGCGGCGUGCCUAAUACAUGCAAGUAGAACGCACAGUUUAUACCGUAGCUUGCUACACCAUAAACUGUGAGUUGCGAACGGGUGAGUAACGCGUAGGUAACCUGCCUGGUAGCGGGGGAUAACUAUUGGAAACGAUAGCUAAUACCGCAUAAUAUUGAUUAUUGCAUGAUAAUUGAUUGAAAGAUGCUAUUGCAUCACUACCAGAUGGCCCUGCGUUGUAUUAGCUAGUAGGUGAGGUAACGGCGCACCUAGGCGACGAUACAUAGCCGACCUGAGAGGGUGAUCGGCCACACUGGGACUGAGACACGGCCCAGACUCCUACGGGAGGGAGCAGUAGGGAAUCUUCGGCAAUGGGCGAAAGACUGACCGAGAAACGCCGCGUGAGGGAAGAAGGUUUUCGGAUCGUAAAGCUCUGUUGUAAGAGAAGAACGGGUGUGAGAGUGGAAAGUUCACACUGUGACGGUAUCUUACCAGAAAGGGACGGCUAACUACGUG
rnacentral:rRNA from 1 species